rnacentral:tRNA from 1 species
CCGCCCAUAGCUCAGUUGGUAGAGCAACGGCCUUUUAAGCCGGUGGUCCCAGGUUCGAGCCCUGGUGGGCGGA